GACGAACGCUGGAGGCGUGCUUAACACAUGCAAGUCGAACGAUGAAAUGGAGCUUGCUCCAUGGAUUAGUGGCGAACGGGUGAGUAACACGUGAAUAACCUGCCCUUAAUUUUGGAAUAACCCAGGGAAACCUGGGCUAAUACCGGAUAAGUAAACCUGUGGCAUCACAUGGUUUUGGAAAGUUUUUCGAUUAAGGAUGGAUUCGCGGCCUAUCAGCUUGUUGGUGAGGUAAUGGCUCACCAAGGCGACGACGGGUAGCCGGCCUGGGAGGGGGGAACGCCACACUGGGACUGAGACACGGCCCAGACUCCUACGGGAGGCAGCAGUGGGGAAUAUUGCGCAAUGGACGAAAGUCUGACGCAGCGACGCCUCGUGAGGGACGAAGGUCUUCGGAUUGUAAACCUCUUUCAGCAGGGACGAAGCGAAAGUGACGGUACCUGCAGAAGAAGCACCGGCUAACUAUGUGCCAGCCGCCGCCGUAA
rnacentral:rRNA from 1 species